rnacentral:lncRNA from 1 species
GUGGUCCGGCAGCACUACCUGGCUCAGUACCCGGCAGACUCUGCCCGCAGCUGUUAUCCCACUAUGAUGCUCGACAUCACUGUUCCCGCAUCCACUGUAGACGUCAACCUGACCCCCAAGAAGACCCAGAUUCUGCACCAGAACAAGGUUCCGUUUUCUCUUUUUUUCCUCAAUUUCCUUGCGGACAGAUUCAUGUUCCACACUACCACUAUCAUUCUAUGAGCUUUGGUUGAAAGAAUACUAAACUUAGGGGAAACUAAAUAUGAUUGAGGAUGUUCGAAAGAUUUAUAAAAACGGACAGUAGCUGCAGAACCAGUUACCAGUCAAUUCAUCCUUUUCAGCUUUCUGACCGAUUCAGCUGCAAAUAUGCGAUGCAAGAUCCAGUAAACAAAUGUAUGAUUUCCCUACAUGUAGCCUCUACGGUACAGCAAGGAAUCCAUUUACUUGCUUUGGCUAGCUAACGUUACUGUCCCUUUGCCCUUUGUCCAACUAUCUCAUUUAUCUCCUCAAAAUAACUUGAUUGAUUUUCUGUGAUAAAAAUAGGAAGUGCUGACAGUAAACAGUAAGUUGCCAAUCAGUUCCUUAGCCACAUUAACUAAAUGUGCAGUUACCUGGGUGCACAGCCACUGCCUGUAAAGAAGGGAAAGUGAACAGCAUGGGCAUUAGUGUGUUAUGUUAUUUCUCACAGAGACUGUGACUGUUAGGAGGCUGUGCUGGCAGCAUUGGAGACGCUGUUGGUUUCCUUGUAUGGCCCUGGUUCGCGGUCUCCUGCUGAGGUGCCACCAGUCACUGUAGAAGAUGCCUACAGUUGCCCAUUAUCACUGGGCAACUGUAGGGGAAACGCUGACGUAGAGGACAGUCUUAUGGAGCACAGUGUCACGGUGGACAAAGCGCCAUUUGGCUACAGUGAUGGCUCUCCAUCCAGGGUAGUGGCUGGUGACCAGACAGUAAACACUAGCUCCUCCUCUUCCUCUGAAGACUGGAUAGUCAACCAAAUCCCAGGGGACUUUGACUUUUUUACUAUUGGAAGAUGAAAUUGCUUUGACCUGCAGCGAGAUAACAAAUCCAGGCCCAGCUAAAGGCCUGGAGAGGCUCAACAGCCAUGACCAACAUCCUGACAAAGACGUUGAGCAGUUAUCAGCAGUGAGUUGGAGCCGAGGCACGGCUCUGACAGACCCCUCCACAGGAGAGCCACUGCAGUCCGUCAAGGUCCACCUGCCCACCGGAUGCAGCAGUGACCUGGGCCUGGUCGAGGCCAAGGAUCAGAGCAGCCCUGGCAAAAAGGUGUCCAACGCUAUAACAGAGAAACGUGCGUCACUGAAGGCCUACAACCUGAUCAGUAGCCGUACCAUGAGGACCCCCCUGUCCCCCGCUGCCUGUUUGAGAGGGAGACCCGGGCAGAGGUUCUCCAGGUGGAGCCCGCAGCAAGCCUCCAGGACAUCACCUCUGCCGUGCAGGAGAGAUGGAAAAACCUGGGGGAGGAGGACCGAAAGAAAGCACAAGUGCAACAUCAGAACUGGUGACGAGAAGUCCCCUGCAGCCAGACACUUUAAUGCGGUCAGACAUGUGUGCCAACUGAAGUUCCAGGACGUUCCAAGUUGUACAGCCACAUAAGAGAGGAGGUAUGAAGAUAAGGCAAAGAAACACCUGGAAUGCUAUGACCUCCAGACCAAGCUGGCCUCAGAUCGAGGUGUGAGAGAGCCCGAGAGGGGGCUCAGUCUGGGCUCCCCACUGAGUCGGCCCCAGGGUUAGAAACACAAGGACCUGCCUUCUAACCAGCCGGUCCUGGACCAGCUCUUCUCCUCCCAACUCCAGAAGAAGAGAACCCCCGGGCCCAAGCCCUCACAACCCCUACCGUAACUACCGCCUUUCGUCCCAGAGCGUCCCAAGACUUCGGGGCCACAGGCUUGUAAACGGCUUGGCCUCUCAAAACGCCUGGGUCGUUUUAUUUGGUAGAAAGCUCAUGUUGUUAAAUCCGUUUCGGGUGGAGGAGGCCUUGCUGUUUAGGAGACUUCUGCUGAAUAAUAUACUUCCCGCAGCGAUCCUGCAGAACCCUAUACAGUUAACAGAUGGGUAACAUAUCACUCCAAUUUCUCAACUGACAGCAAAAAAGGGAACAUUGACACGAUCUUGUUCUCAGCUCAUAAAUUGAGCGAUUUCCUUGCGCAUUCUAUAAUCUGGUUAUUAUGUAGCACCCCUUAUGUAUCUAGUUACACUUAAUUUUACAGUUUGCUAUUUAC